UGCCAGGCACGGCUCGGAGCCAUGACAUCUACCUCCCGAGGCAGGGCUACUGAGUCCCACUUCAUAGCUGAAGACCACAGGGAUGUGACUCUGGCCCACAGCCCUCAUGUGGAGUCUGACACACAGUGAGUGCUGCGAAGAGCAUUGUUGAGCAGACCCUGCACGGUGCCAAGUCGAAGGGUGGCCCUGUCUCCUUCGGGAAGUCCUGCACACUGCACACAUACCCUCCCUCACGCCAAGCGGGAAUCAAGACAGGAGAACUGAGGUUUGAAGAGGGUAGAGAAGCUCUAACACAACGACCCAAGCGAGCAACAGCAGAGAGGGUGAUGCUCCCUGUAAACCAGCUCAGUGCUUGGCUUCGGGCUGGGCAGAGGGAUCAGCUGCCUCAGAGCCUGUGUGCUGAGUACCGCUCCGGGGACCAAGAGAUGACAGAAGGGAACCUCUUUCUUUCUUUCUUUCUUUUUUUUUAAAAAAAAAAAAAAAAAAACACACACAAAACCAUGAGAAUACAUUCCCAGCAUUAUUAGUUCUUUCUGGUUUUUUGCUCACCCCCUCAUCUGGGUCCAAGCCCCUCACAACCAAAGGAACCAAUACCGGAUGGUUCAAUAAAUUAAUAAGCACAUCAGUCAACUUCGUAAUAAAAUG